rnacentral:rRNA from 1 species
GAUAUGGCCGUGCAGUCUGCUUUCGGGUAAGUACUGCUUGGCUGUAUCUUUCCUUCUGGGGAGCCAGCGUGCUCUUAAUUGAGUGCGUUGGGGAUCCAGAACUUUUACCUUGAGAAAAUUAGAGUGUUCAAAGCAGGCCUACGCCUGAAUACAUUAGCAUGGAAUAAUAGAAUAGGACGU